AACGCGAAGAACCUUACCAGUCCUUGACAUGUCCACUAUGGGUUUGAGAGAUCAGAUCCUUCACUUCGGGUGGGUGGAACACAGGUGCUGCAUGGCUGUCGUCAGCUCGUGUCGUGAGAUGUUGGGUUAAGUCCCGCAACGAGCGCAACCCUCAUCUUCAGUUGCCCCCGGGUCAGGCCGGGCACUCUGAAGAAACCGCCGGUGACAAGCCGGAGGAAGGCGGGGAUGACGUCAAGUCCUCAUGGCCCUUACGGACUGGGCUACACACGUACUACAAUGGUGGUGACAAUGGGCAGCGAAAGCGCAAGCUGGAGCCAAUCCCCAAAAACCAUCUCAGUUCAGAUUGCACUCUGCAACUCGAGUGCAUGAAGUUGGAAUCGCUAGUAAUCGCAGAUCAGCACGCUGCGGUGAAUACGUUCCCGGGCCUUGUACACACCGACGCAC
rnacentral:rRNA from 1 species